UCCGGAUUAGCUCAGUUGGUAGAGCGAUCGGCUGUUAACCGAUUUGUCGCUGGUUCGAGUCCAGCAUCCGGAGCCG
rnacentral:tRNA from 1 species